rnacentral:rRNA from 1 species
GCCUUAGUACGGCGAGUGAAGCGGCAAAAGCUCAAAUUUGAAAUCUGGUACCUUCGGUGCCCGAGUUGUAAUUUGGAGAGGGCAACUUUGGGGCCGUUCCUUGUCUAUGUUCCUUGGAACAGGACGUCAUAGAGGGUGAGAAUCCCGUGUGGCGAGGAGUGCGGUUCUUUGUAAAGUGCCUUCGAAGAGUCGAGUUGUUUGGGAAUGCAGCUCUAAGUGGGUGGUAAAUUCCAUCUAAAGCUGAUUAUUGGCGAGAGACCGAUAGCGAACAAGUACAGUGAUGGAAAGAUGAAAAGAACUUUGAAAAGAGAGUGAAAAAGUACGUGAAAUUGUUGAAAGGGAAGGGCAUUUGAUCAGACAUGGUGUUUUGUGCCCUCUGCUCCUUGUGGGUAGGGGAAUCUCGCAUUUCACUGGGCCAGCAUCAUUUUUGGUGGCAGGAUAAAUCCAUAGGAAUGUAGCUUGCCUCGGUAAGUAUUAUAGCCUGUGGGAAUACUGCCAGCUGGGACUGAGGACUGCGACGUAAGUCAAGGAUGCUGGCAUAAUGGUUAUAUGCCGCCCGUCUUGA